CGGAGGAUCCAAGCGUUAUCCGGAAUCAUUGGGUUUAAAGGGUCCGUAGGCGGUUCUAUAAGUCAGUGGUGAAAUCUGGUCGCUCAACGAUCAAACGGCCAUUGAUUACUGUAAGACUUGAAUUACUUGGAAGUAACUAGAAUAUGUAGUGUAGCGGUGAAAUGCUUAGAGAUUACAUGGAAUACCAAUUGCGAAGGCAGGUUACUACAAGUAUAUUGACGCUGAUGGACGAAAGCGUGGGGAGCGAACAGGAUUAGAUACCCUGGUAGUCCACGCCGUAAACGAUGGAUACUAGCUGUUUGGAGCAAUCUGAGUGGCUAAGCGAAAGUGAUAAGUAUCCCACCUGGGGAGUACGCUCGCAAGAGUG
rnacentral:rRNA from 1 species